rnacentral:rRNA from 1 species
GACGAACGCUGGCGGCGUGCUUAACACAUGCAAGUCGAACGGAAAGGCCCCCACCUUGGUGGGGGUGCUCGAGUGGCGAACGGGUGAGUAACACGUGGGUGAUCUGCCCUGUACUUCGGGAUAAGCUUGGGAAACUGGGUCUAAUACCGGAUAGGACCAUGGUUUAGUGUCUCAUGGUGGAAAAAUUAUUGUUUUGGUGCAGGAUGAGCUCGCGGCCUAUCAGCUUGUUGGUGGGGUAAUGGCCUACCAAGGCGUCGACGGGUAGCCGGCCUGAGAGGGUGGACGGCCACAUUGGGACUGAGAUACGGCCCAGACUCCUACGGGAGGCAGCAGUGGGGAAUAUUGCACAAUGGGAGCAAGCCUGAUGCAGCGACGCCGCGUGGGGGAUGACGGCCUUCGGGUUGUAAACUCCUUUCGUUAGGGACGAAGCCACACCUUUUUUGGGUGUGGUGACGGUACCUUUGUUAAGAAGCACCGGCUAACUACGUG